AUUGAACGCUGGCGGCAGGCCUAACACAUGCAAGUCGAACGAGUGGCGGACGGGUGAGUAAUGUCUGGGAAACUGCCUGAUGGAGGGGGAUAACUACUGGAAACGGUAGCUAAUACCGCAUACCAUCGGAUGUGCCCAGAUGGGAUUAGCUAGUAGGUGGGGUAAAGGCUCACCUAGGCGACGCUCCCUAGCUGGUCUGAGAGGAUGAACGGCCAAACUGGAACUGAGACACGUGCCAGACUCCGACGGGGGGCAGCAGUGGGGAAUAUUGCACAAGGGGCGCAAGCCUGAUGCACCCAUGCCGCGUGUAUGAAGAAGGCCUUCGGGUUGUAAAGUACUUUCAGCGGGGAGGCGUUACCCACAGAAGAAGCACCGGCUAACUCCGUGCCAGCCGCCGCGGUAAUAC
rnacentral:rRNA from 1 species